AGCGAACGCUGGCGGCAGGCCUAACACAUGCAAGUCGAACGAACCUUUCGGGGUUAGUGGCGGACGGGUGAGUAACACGUGGGAACGUGCCUUUAGGUUCGGAAUAACUCAGGGAAACUUGUGCUAAUACCGAAUGUGCCCUUCGGGGGAAAGAUUAAUCGCCUUUAGAGCGGCCCGCGUCUGAUUAGCUAGUUGGUUGAGGUAAUGGCUCACCAAGGCGACGAUCAGUAGCUGGUCUGAGAGGAUGAUCAGCCACAUUGGGACUGAGACACGGCCCAAACUCCUACGGGAGGCAGCAGUGGGGAAUCUUGCGCAAUGGGCGAAAGCCUGACGCAGCCAUGCCGCGUGAAUGAUGAAGGUCUUAGGAUUGUAAAAUUCUUUCACCGGGGACGAUAAUGACGGUACCCGGAGAAGAAGGCUAACUUCGU
rnacentral:rRNA from 1 species